CUCGAAUGAACCUGCGGAGAUUCUCCGAGGUUACGAAUCCGACUACAGGCAGCACCGCCGUGCACGCAACAAGAAGCGAACGACUAAAGAAGCAACUACGCGACUUAUCCCCAAGUCAGGCCACAGGCCUACGACCACAGCAGUACCCUAGCUAGUCGACCUCACCCAGCCAAGCAGCUCACUGGCCCCAGCUGUCUUCAAACCCACGCGGGCCAACAAGACCGCUGGAAAAGCUCAAAUUAUGAACCAUCUUAUUGGAAUGGACUUGGUGGCUAUCGCUGUAGCACUAGCUGUGAUUAUCCUGGCACCGAAUGAGGCUUUGGCUGGUGGUCUCGCUGGAGGUGUUGCCGGAGGCGGAGGUAUUGAUCCCAAGAAGUAAAUGGUGCUGCAGCCCGAGCCAUGCCCUACCACGUUGCCACGCUCAAGCUGUUAUGGUGAUUCUUCCAAAUGAGGCCCUUGCUGGUGGUAUCGGGGGAGCUCUCGGAUUCGCAGGCUUCGUUCGCAAGAGGUGACUGGAGCUGCAUGUCAAGUCUUUGUAUACCACGCUGCCAUUCUCAAGAUGAUGGGUUCACUCGCCAAAAUGAAGAAGGACGCACAUUUUCUGCUCUUUAUUGAAACACAUGCGGUUGGUCCAAGAGAGAAGGUCUAUACUGCUUGCCUGUUGGCGACACAAUUACAGUUUAAGUUUUGUUUUGUCUAUAUUGAUCAAGCUGAUGGACAAUAAAAAAUUACU